UCCUAACCACCUGGCCCGUGGACUUCGAGCCCCAUGGGGAAAAAGGCUGUUGUCGAAACAGAAUGCUAUUUUCAGGGCCUCCUGAGACACAGGCCCCGGUGCCCCUCAGGGUCAGAGCUGGCAGCGUGGAGAGGAGAUCGUGGAGACAGUGUACUCAGCAGGACAGCAACGUCCUCUGGGUGGCUGCUGCGUCAGGGCAGGCCAGGCUCCUCAAGGUGCUUGCCGCACAGGAGAAAGCGAAGGCAUUCUGGUUUCCAUGGUAACUGUAACUGUGGCUCUUACUUGGUUUGGUGCAGGUUUUCUGAGUGUUUAAGAAAUAAUUGCAGGAGGAAGGUGCUGCGGCAGGGCUGGAGGUCGUGCGUGGGCAGACGGGGCAAGAGUUACUCCUGUUUGGGUGGCUGGUGAGAACUGGCUGGGAGAGUUGGUCUACCUGAGGAACUAACUGCAGGACUGGAUCUGCAGCUGCGUUUGCUGGUCUCUGCAUCCGGUUCCAGGAACACAGCCACCUCCACCAGCAUGACUCAGAAAUAGGACAGACAAACAGAGUGGGACGAGAAAAUUCCUUCAAGAAUCACAGUUGUUGUGGAUCUCAAGAACUCAACAGUCGUCUAUUUGAGAACCAGCAGGAGGUCAUAUUCUAUAUGUCCACAUAUGUAUCUGGGGAGACUGGCUGGCUGCAAGGCUUUGUAACCACCUUCCAGGCAGAUGACAAGAUGGAACCUUCUCAACAUACACCUCAGUUAAAAGUCAAGUCAAUAAAAGCCUGGCUGCAUGAAAGAGGAUGAUACAUAAAGACUGGCUGUAUACCUUUGUUUGAUCUGAGUAAGAAAUGCGUGCAUUCAAUGAGGCCACUGAGUUUAUGAUCAAACCUCCUCGUAAAGAAUAGAGCACAGAGAAACCCAUAUUCUUACCGUGUGACAAAUGAGACUGCGAACGUGGACCCUUCUUUAAAACUCCAGCUAAUUCAGGUUGCAGAAUGAAGUGUGCCAUGUCAUAAUUAAUCCCUCAUGUAUUGCAAGCAAUUUAAUGUCAAAAUAAUCAACAGGAGCGUUUUUUACCCUUUUGUGAGUACAUAAUAAAUACUGUCAUUUAGCUGCAGCAAACAUCGGGUUUCUUUCCUGGUCUUUGAAUAACACUCCUCGUGAGGUAAAUACCAGAUCUCCUUCUCCAUCUCCCCACACCCCCAAGCCCUACAAACC
rnacentral:lncRNA from 1 species